UGCAGUGUACCCGCGGCAAGACGGAAAGACCCCGUGAACCUUUACUAUAGCUUGACACUGAACAUUGAGCCUUGAUGUGUAGGAUAGGUGGGAGGCUUUGAAGCGUGGACGCCAGUCUGCGUGGAGCCGACCUUGAAAUACCACCCUUUAAUGUUUGAUGUUCUAACGUGGACCCGUUACCCGGGUUGCGGACAGUGUCUGGUGGGUAGUUUGACUGGGGCGGUCUCCUCCUAAAGAGUAACGGAGGAGCACGAAGGUUGGCUAAUCCUGGUCGGACAUCAGGAGGUUAGUGCAAUGGCAUAAGCCAGCUUGACUGCGAGCGUGACGGCGCGAGCAGGUGCGAAAGCAGGUCAUAGUGAUCCGGUGGUUCUGAAUGGAAGGGCCAUCGCUCAACGGAUAAAAGGUACUCCGGGGAUAACAGGCUGAUACCGCCCAAGAGUUCAUAUCGACGGCGGUGUUUGGCACCUCGAUGUCGGCUCAUCACAUCCUGGGGCUGAAGUAGGUCCCAAGGGUAUGGCUGUUCGCCAUUUAAAGUGGUACGCGAGCUGGGUUUAGAACGUCGUGAGACAGUUCGGUCCCUAUCUGCCGUGGGCGCUGGAGAACUGAGGGGGGCUGCUCCUAGUACGAGAGGACCGGAGUGGACGCAUCACUGGUGUUCGGGUUGUCAUGCCAAUGGCACUGCCCGGUAGCUAAAUGCGGAAGAGAUAAGUGCUGAAAGCAUCUAAGCACGAAACUUGCCCCGA
rnacentral:rRNA from 1 species